GCGUGCGCAGAUAAGGCUUCUAUCUCAAACUUUACUCCCUUUUGGAGCAUCAGCUUUAGCUCCAACCUUCACAAGCAACAAGGCAAGACACGCAGCAUAUAAUCUCAAUCCGUUUGGAAAAGAAGGCCAAGGAAAUGGACUAAGGAAUAUUGAGAGCACUGUAUUAGUAGAUCAGAUGUGCAACCAGGUCAAUCUUACGCACUACAAGUAAUAUCUUAUUUACCCUCAGCAGUCAAAGGAAGGAUACACUGCUUUGGAACAAAAUAUCUCUCGGAAUCUGAAGGAAAAGCUCCAAGCCAGCGUAUCUCUGGGACACGAAGAUGUUUCGUGUCGUAAGCCAUUUGCUAACAUAAUCCAGAGAAAUAGAUUAGUUAUGUAGGAUAUGAAACUUCAACUACGCGAUUACAGAGAUAGAUUCGAUCCACUCAAUGAUCCUAUAAUUUGAUAAUCAGAUCCUUAAAAUUAUAUACAUGUUGAUGUAUUUCUCAAUUGAUAAACUUACAAAUACUGACCAUCGAACCAAAUCUGUAAGUGGUUAGAAUGUCAAAGCCAUAGGGAUCACAAUCUACCAAGCAAUAAACAGGCAGUCGCAAUUUCUCUACCAGAAGCCGCAAAAACCUGUUUGUAUAGAAAAUGCAUAAAAUCAGAGAUAUAUUAAGCAUGUAAGUUCCUAACUUUGCGCACAGACAGACACAUAUGCUAGGAUUUACGAAAAGCCCAGUUGGCAUAUGACUUGAUAGCAUAACAUCAUAAGCAUAUGAAAAAAAUAAGUUCACACCUCCUUGUAGGAAUAUCUGGGUAGCCUCUUCCCUGUAUAAAGAUAAAAUUCAAACAAAGAAAUAUUGUUCCAAAAGAAACUAAUGUCUUCAGAAGAUUGCUUACAGUGAUGACAAUACAGUGAUUUGCAUUGCAGAAUUGGUCGUUUGCCAGUCUUUGGAAAACUGCAAGUGAGGUUCAACAUGGACGGUCUUUUCAAUAGAAUUUUCUGUUUUUUUUUUCUUUUCCUCCAAAACAAAAGCAUUUGUUUACCUGAUUCUUUCUCCACAACUAAUAUGUAUUGUGCAACACUAAUGAUAUCUAUGAUCAGGUUAGGAAAUGUUUCUCCGCAA